rnacentral:rRNA from 1 species
AGAUUGAACGCUGGCGGCAUGCCUUACACAUGCAAGUCGAACGGCAGCACGGGAGCAAUCCUGGUGGCGAGUGGCGAACGGGUGAGUAAUAUAUCGGAACGUGCCCAGUCGUGGGGGAUAACGCAGCGAAAGCUGUGCUAAUACCGCAUACGAUCUAUGGAUGAAAGCGGGGGAUCGCAAGGCCUCGCGCGAUUGGAGCGGCCGAUAUCAGAUUAGCUAGUUGGUGGGGUAAAAGCCUACCAAGGCGACGAUCUGUAGCUGGUCUGAGAGGACGACCAGCCACACUGGAACUGAGACACGGUCCAGACUCCUACGGAGGCAGCAGUGGGGAAUUUUGGACAAUGGGCGCAAGCCUGAUCCAGCAAUGCCGCGUGCAGGAUGAAGGCCUUGGUUGUAAACUGCUUUUGUACGGAACGAAACGGUUCUCUCUAAUACAGGGCUAAUGACGGUACGUAAGAAUAAGCACCGACUAACUACGUACG